UACAUAGCAUAUGGUCAAGAAUAAUGCAAGAAACUGCCUUAAAUAUUCUUCGAAGGAAUCUUCAUUGAAUGCCUGACCUCGAAAGAGAUAACUAGCUCCCAGGUCUCAGACUUUUUUAAUUAUAGUGAUCAGUGAUCACAGCUGAUCAUUAUUCCUUAAUCUACCCAAUUUCCAUGGCUUCACAACUCAAUCAACUUCACUUUGUUUUGAUACCUUUAAUGUCUCCUGGCCACCUUAUACCCAUGAUAGAUAUGGCCAAACUUUUGGCAAAUCAUGGCCUGAUUGUAACUGUUGUAACUACACCUCUCAAUGCCCUCAAGUUCACCUCAACAAUUGAACGUUCUAAUGAAUCUGGUAUUAAGAUCCACAUUCUUCAACUCCAAUUUCCUGCACUAGAAGCUGGUUUGCCAGAGGGAUGCGAAAGUAUGGACAAGCUUCCCUCUAGGAACCUGAUCAGGAACUUUUUCAAUGCUGCCAGUAUGCUUCAGCAGCAAUUUGAGCAGGUGUUUGAAACUUUACAGCCCCGUCCAAGUUGUUUAAUAUCCGGCAAGAACCUUCCCUGGACGGUGGAAACUGCCCGGAAGUUUGGGAUUCCAAGAAUCUUUUUCGAUGGAAUGGGGUGUUUUGCUUUCUCCUGUACACACAAACUGGAAGUUUCCAAGGUGCAUAAAAGUGUUUCCAAGUUUGAGGCCUUUGUGGUACCUGACCUGCCUCAUCGAAUCGAAUUGACCAGAGCCAAGCUACCUGAAUCACUCAAUCCUGGCUCCAACGACUUAACAGAUGUUCGAGACAAUAUUAGAGCAUCUGAAGUCAUAGCGGAUGGGAUUGUGGUUAAUACUUUCGAAGAGCUGGAAGCUGAAUAUGUCAAAGAGUAUAAAAGGGUUAAAGGAGACAACGUUUGGUGUAUAGGUCCAGUUUCAGCUUGUAACAAGCUGAAAUUGGACAAAGCUGAGAGAGGUGACAAGGCCUCAAUAGAUAACACCGAGCUCUCGAAGUGGCUUGACUUGUGGGAGCCUGGAUCAGUAAUCUAUGCUUGUCUUGGUAGCAUUUGUGGCCUCGCAUCCUGGCAACUCGCAGAACUUGGUUUAGGCUUGGAAUCAUCAAACCAGCCGUUCAUUUGGGUCAUAAGAGAUGGUGAAAAAUCAGAAGGGCUAGAGAAGUGGAUUUUAGAGGAAGGGUUUCAAGAAAGGAUCAAAGAGAGAGGACUUCUGAUCAGAGGCUGGUCUCCUCAAUUGUUAAUAUUGUCUCAUCCGGCUAUAGGAGCUUUCUUGACACACUGUGGUUGGAAUUCAACACUUGAAGGCGUCUCCGCCGGCUUACCAAUAGUUGCUUGCCCGUUGUUCGCCGAGCAAUUCUUCAAUGAAAAAUUGGUGGUGGAAGUGCUGGGAAUUGGGGUGAGUGUAGGAGUUGAGGCUGCAGUUACAUGGGGAUUAGAAGACAAGUUUGGAGUAGUGAUGAAGAGAGAUGAAGUAAAGAAGGCAAUUGGGAUAGUAAUGGAUAAAGGGAAAGAGGGAGCAGAGAGAAGGAAAAGAGCAAGAGAGCUUGGAGAAACGGCUAAAAGGACAAUUGAAGAAGGAGGAUCUUCUUACAUGAACAUGGAAAUGUUGAUCCGAUAUGUAUCAGGAAGAGGUCCCUCCAGAGCCUAUUGCCAUUGUUCUUCCUGACAUUGAAUCAAUAAAUGGAACUUUUUUGUUUCAUUUCGAAACAACAAUUAAAAGAAAAACCAAUAUCUUGGUUCCUUGUGGCAUGCAUGUGCAAGUUGGGAAUUGGGUUUUCUAUCUUCAAAUGUGAACUCAGCUCUUGAUAUUUAAUCUUAAAA
rnacentral:misc_RNA from 1 species